rnacentral:rRNA from 1 species
UGGGGAAUAUUGCACAAUGGGCGAAAGCCUGAUGCAGCGACGCCGCGUGAGGGAUGACGGCCUUCGGGUUGUAAACCUCUUUCAGCAGGGAAGAAGCGAAAGUGACGGUACCUGCAGAAGAAGCGCCGGCUAACUACGUGCCAGCAGCCGCGGUAAUACGUAGGGCGCAAGCGUUGUCCGGAAUUAUUGGGCGUAAAGAGCUCGUAGGCGGUUAGUCGCGUCUGCUGUGAAAACUCGAGGCUCAACCUCGGGCUUGCAGUGGGUACGGGCUGACUAGAGUGCGGUAGGGGUGACUGGAAUUCCUGGUGUAGCGGUGGAAUGCGCAGAUAUCAGGAGGAACACCGAUGGCGAAGGCGAGGUCACUGGGCCGCAACUGACGCUGAGGAGCGAAAGCAUGGGGAGCGAACAGGAUUAGAUACCCUGGUAGUCCAUGCCGUAAACGUUGGGCACUAGGUGUGGGGUCCAUUCCACGGAUUCCGUGCCGCAGCAAACGCAUUAAGUGCCCCGCCUGGGGAGUACGGCCGCAAGGCUAAAACUCAAAUGAAUUGACGGGGUCAUAGCUGUUUCCU